GACGAACUUCGGCGGCGUGCUUAACACAUGCAAGUCGAACGGAAAGGCCCUGCUUUUGUGGGGUGCUCGAGUGGCGAACGGGUGAGUAACACGUGAGUAACCUGCCCUUGACUUUGGGAUAACUUCAGGAAACUGGGGCUAAUACCGGAUAGGAGCUCCUGCUGCAUGGUGGGGGUUGGAAAGUUUCGGCGGUUGGGGAUGGACUCGCGGCUUAUCAGCUUGUUGGUGGGGUAGUGGCUUACCAAGGCUUUGACGGGUAGCCGGCCUGAGAGGGUGACCGGCCACAUUGGGACUGAGAUACGGCCCAGACUCCUACGGGAGGCAGCAGUGGGGAAUAUUGCACAAUGGGCGGAAGCCUGAUGCAGCAACGCCGCGUGCGGGAUGACGGCCUUCGGGUUGUAAACCGCUUCGCCUGUGACGAAGCGUGAGUGACGGUAAUGGGUAAAGAAGCACCGGCUAACUACGUGCCAGCAGCCGCGGUGAUACGUAGGGUGCGAGCGUUGUCCGGAUUUAUUGGGCGUAAAGGGCUCGUAGGUGGUUGAUCGCGCCGGAAGUGUAAUCUUGGGGCUUAACCCUGAGCGUGCUUUCGAUACGGGUUGACUUGAGGAAGGUAGGGGAGAAUGGAAUUCCUGGUGGAGCGGUGGAAUGCGCAGAUAUCAGGAGGAACACCAGUGGCGAAGGCGGUUCUCUGGGCCUUUCCUGACGCUGAGGAGCGAAAGCGUGGGGAGCGAACAGGCUUAGAUACCCUGGUAGUCCACGCUGUAAACGGUGGGUACUAGGUGUGGGGUCCAUUCCACGGGUUCCGUGCCGUAGCUAACGCUUUAAGUACCCCGCCUGGGGAGUACGGCCGCAAGGCUAAAACUCAAAGGAAUUGACGGGGCCCCGCACAAGCGGCGGAGCAUGCGGAUUAAUUCGAUGCAACGCGUAGAACCUUACCUGGGUUUGACAUGGAUCGGGAGUGCUCAGAGAUGGGUGUGCCUCUUUUGGGGUCGGUUCACAGGUGGUGCAUGCCUGUCGUCAGCUCGUGCCGUGAGAUGUUGGGUUAAGUCCCGCAACGAACGCAACCCUUGUUCACUGUUGCCAGCACGUUAUGGUGGGGACUCAGUGGAGACCGCCGGGGUCAACUCGGAGGAAGGUGGGGAUGACGUCAAGUCCUCAUGCCCCUUAUGUCCAGGGCUUCACGCAUGCUACAAUGGCUGGUACAGAGAGUGGCGAGCCUGUGAGGGUGAGCGAAUCUCGGAAAGCCGGUCUCAGUUCGGAUUGGGGUCUGCAACUCGACCUCAUGAAGUCGGAGUCGCUAGUAAUCGCAGAUCAGCAACGCUGCGGUGAAUACGUUCCCGGGGCU
rnacentral:rRNA from 1 species